AUGAUACAUCUUUUAUCUCUCUUUCUUUCUCAAUCUCAUUCUUUCUCACUCUUCUCUCAUCUCCCAAUUCAAACGACAAUCACCAAAUUCUUUUUCCCCAAAUCUAACUCCUAAAACGCUAGCACCAAACCAACGCUUGCAAGCACCUCCAUCUACCAGCGGCAACGACGAAGGCGCUUGCUGUUGUGUCGGCCAAGCAAGAAGCUCGAAUUUUCUCAGCAGAAGAUUCGUGUUGUCAUUGUUGUAGUGAUCUCAGUCAAAUUAACUGGAAAGUUCGUCCGACAGCAAUCUCCAAACUAUUGAAUUUCUCUCUUCAAACAAAAUCCUCAUACAUAGUUGCAGAAAUGGCAAUGACCAUUGAAGGUUUGUCUGUAAUUUUGGUGUUUAUGUCUGUCUUGUAGCUCUUCCAGCCAAAUCCAAUAUUUUAAGUGAACAGCAUUAGACUUGACAGAAAUUUUUACACACCCGGAGAUGGCGCUGUUGGGGGAUGACGGGCGGGGCUACGAGCUGGCGCGGAAGCUGGAGAGCCACGGCGUGUGGCGGUCGUGGCUCGGUGACGCUCUUUACUCCACCUUCAUUCCCUUCCUCUCCUCCCCAGCCGCCUGGGAAGCCUUUAUGCGAGCUGAUGACUCCAAGACUAAGCCUCAGAUCCACCUCCAGCUCCGCGCACGUGCUCUCCUCUUCGAUAAGGCCUCCGCUUCGCUCUUUAUCCAAUCCGCUUCAUCCGCACCCAUCUCUCAGCUCAAUCCUAAUUAUUUGGAAUUGCAUGGAGAUGAUGUGUAUUUCACUUUGGAAAAUGGUGCACAAGAUGGAGAGCAACGCCAACCUCUCUUGGCUGCUCCAAGCACGACCUCAUCAAAGGGGCUUUCUAAAACAUCUAUUGGUGUUGGUUCAAGAUUUAGUGAAUCAGAAGUUGAUGCUGGUUCCCAAAGAUUUAAGCUGGAAGCAAUGCCUGAAACAUGGUAUAGUCAGUUCUUUGAGAAAUAUAGGGCAAGUAAAUCUUACAGAUUGAUGUUUGGGGAUAGAGAAUCAGAAAAACGAACACCUGAACAGAUGUCCACUUAUCUUAGAGUGCUUGAGAAUCACAAACGAAGAAGAAUAGCUUUCAAGGACAAUGCAUCAAACUUGCAAUCAAACUCAGUAAUGGGUGAAAGUACUGCGCUUGAUGAUACACCUCUUUUCCCGGAAACAAUGUUUACUUUAAAUUGUGUUCCUGAUAGUGCAGUCUCAAAAACAAGCAGAUUAGAGAACAAUCAGAAAGUGCAGUUCAAUGGGGUUCUGGACAACUUGCCUCAGAUCAUGCCGAAGAGCCCGGUGAUGAGCCCUAUUAUGAUUGAGAGGCUUGGUAUCAGGCCUGAAUAUUUAAACAUGGAACAAGGACAUCAAACUCGUGGAAAGAAUGGAUAUCAAGGGAGCAGGAAACUUCUUGGUCAGGAACAAGCAUUACAGAUGUCGCAUAAGGUGGUAGCGCGGUUGCUAACCAAUGUGGGAUUUGAAUCUUCUUCAGAUUCAUCUUUAGAAGUUCUGGCACAGUUUUUAAGUUGUCAUAUCAGUAAAUUAGGGCGCAUCUUAAAGCUCCUUGCUGAUAGUUAUAGAAAGCAGUGUUCAGCCACCGAAUUACUCAAGAUGUUCCUUCAAACUGCAGGAUAUAGUAACCUAGGGGCCCUGGCUGAGCUGAUGAAGGAUAAUAGUAAAAAUGUGGUACAGCAAAAUCAGCAGCAGGUGCUGGGUAUCCAGGCACAGCUGCAGUCACAAUUGCAGUCACAGCAGCAACCUUCCGUUCAGCAGUCACAGCAGGUCCUAAGGCAAAUGAGUCCACAGAUGCAGCAAAUGAAUAAUCCUCAGUAUCUGGCAUUUCAGCAGCAGCAGCAGUGGGAGAGGAUGAGAAGGAGGCAACAGCAGGCAGCAGCACCUCGUCCUGGCAUGAGCAUGAACAUGAACAUGAAUAUGAAUAUGAAUAUGAAUAUGGACAAGGACAGACCUCUGGUGCAAGUGAAGAUGGAGAAUCCAUCUGACUUUCCAAUGGAUGCAAAUUCUUUCCCAACAAUGACUUCCAGACACCCCCAGUUGCAACAGUUGCGGCAACAACAACUGGCUGCAAUAUCAUCUCUACAUGCUCAAGCCAACAGCAAUGCAUUUAGGCCGAUGACUUCUCUUCAAAUUCCACAAGUCCAAUCACCGAACAUGACAAUGGCAAGGGCUCCACCUGUGAAGGUUGAAGGUUUUCAGGAGCUGAUGGGUGGAGAUUCUUCCAUGAAGCAUGAUUCGGAGGAAAAUAAGCUACUUUCUCCUCAAAAGUAGUAUAUCUUAAAUCCUCAUCUCUAGAGUAUCUUCCAAUGUGAAUUACAUAGGUACUUCGAUGCCUACCUGCUUUCCUGCCAUAACUCCAGCAUUUUAACCAUUGGUCUCCCUGAACUGGCAACAGCAUAAGAGGGCACUCCAUCCACUGUUACUCAAGAAAGCACCUAAUGAACCAUGGCCAAGUAUGUUUAUCCAAGUUGCCCUAUUCCUCCGUACAACUCCUCCCCCCUUGAUUCUCUCUUUAACUCCAUUCGGCCGCUCAAUCUUGUCCUCCUUAAUCGACCCAGCUGGGUUUCUGAGUGCUCAGACAAAAGGUAAACCAUAAAGUUCGAGCCCAUGAGCUAGUUCACUUGGUCGCUGCUCAAAACCACUCCACUUCCUAAUGUAACUUACACCUGAGACUCUUUGUUUUCGCUGCAAAGCCAAUCUUUGACAGAAGCCCAUGCUUCAUUUGCACUAUAGCUGGAGUUGUGAUCCACAUGCAGAGGCGUUACUCCAAGUGGCAUCACCACUAUCUGGUGAAGCUCUUCUAGCAGCUUCAACCAUAGAGGCUGAACCCAUUUCAGUCUCAUGUAAUUAUGGCAUCAGAUCCAGUAUUCAUUUAAAAACCCUGACGUGUUCUUUUUGGCUGUGUCAAUAAUCCAGUUGGCCUCAGUGUCUGUAAGCACCUUAGUCUCAAAAGUUACCCUUUCUGGUGGAGCCAUGUGAUCCUCCGGUCUAGUCCAACCUUCUAGACCAUUGAUCAAAGCCUCUGUGUUUCCAAGGAAAGCGGGAAGUGGGAACCAUGCACCAAAGAUGGAAAAGAAGAGCAAAAUUCCAAGCCUAGUUGUAACCGUGGGCAACAAAUGAGCAGACAGACCAAUCAUAUAUGAUGAUAUCACCAUUAGAGUUCUCCAGGAAUAGAGUUAGCUCAUAUUCCAACCCAUAAUAUGCCUUCUUGAAUGCUUCGUGAUGGCAUCCUCAGUUGGGAUAUCGAUGGUGGCUUCUGCAUUAUUGGGGAGCCCUUGAAGCUCUGGCAGUGGGAUUUUCAACAAAGCUGUGGUAGAAACCAAAUGCGGAGGAAGUUCUUCCUUGGGGCGGAAAUGAAGGUAAGUGUUCAAUGUUCCUUACGGUGGAAACGUUUCAAAGCUAUGAAUUUGGAGAGGUUGAAAAAUGGAAGGAUGUGAGUCAUUUGGUGAAUAGUGUAAAUUCAGGGAGACUCAAAACUCAGGCCUCAUCUCCCUUUGCUAAUUGGGUCGGAUAUCCCACACUAUCCUACCCAAUAUUUUGUUUACUUCAAUUUUGAAGUUGAAUUUUGAUUGCAAACCCACCUCCUGCCCCAAGUUUCAAGUUUAUAAUUUGGGCUGACGAUUUUGUCCUCUUUUUUAGGUUUGAUCUGUCUCUUUUGUCCUCGUGUCCUUAUUUGAGAUUACAGUGGUCGAGGAAAACGAAAAUCCUUUCGUC